CGGCGGCGCCGCGAGCCCGCAAAAAAACGAAAGAGGGCACCGUCGGGAUCCGGAGAAAGGGGAUUGGGAACAGAGGGGCGCCGGCGCGCCGCCAUCCUCGUUGCGCCGUGCUCAUGCGGGAAGAAGCUCGGAAAGCGUUUCUCCCGUUCCGAGCUAUGCAUCUUCUCUGAAUCUCUGUUAGUUUUUGCUCGACAUAUUUGACGAGGUGAUAAGUGAUGACAAAUUGCCUACGCAACUUAAUUUGAUUACUGUGUAUUCUUGUUUGUAUUGCAAGUACUCAUACACAAUGGUACGGUGGAGCUGCUCCUGAUAUGGCAUCCAAAACAACGACACCAUUCUUGAUGCAGACGUCGGGUCUUGUAGACAGGUUCAGAUUAACUCGACCUACCACUUUAGUCCUAUUGAAGAAGAACCGAAUCGAAUCGAACGUGUGGUGGAAGUUUUGAACUGCUUGCCCGAAGGCUGAAGUGAAGGGACAACAUCCUGAUUUUCAUGUCCUUUUUUCCGAUUAAUAAUCUCAUGAAUUUGCUCUAUUUUUCUAUGACCUAUGAUCUACACUUCUACUGCUAGUGAUUGAUUGCGUUCUACCUAUUGGUGCCGAUCUUUUGAGUGACAUGAUACAUUUAUUUGUGAAAAGCAUGCCAUAGUUUGUUCAGUUCA